GAUGAACGCUGGCGGCGUGCCUAAUACAUGCAAGUCGAGCGAACAGACGAGGAGCUUGCUCCUCUGACGUUAGCGGCGGACGGGUGAGUAACACGUGGAUAACCUACCUAUAAGACUGGGAUAACUUCGGGAAACCGGAGCUAAUACCGGAUAAUAUAUUGAACCGCAUGGUUCAAUAGUGAAAGACGGUUUUGCUGUCACUUAUAGAUGGAUCCGCGCCGCAUUAGCUAGUUGGUAAGGUAACAGCUUACCAAGGCAACGAUGCGUAGCCGACCUAAGAGGGUGAUCGGCCACACUGGAACUGAGACACGGUCCAGACUCCUACGGGAGGCAGCAGUAGGGAAUCUUCCGCAAUGGGCGAAAGCCUGACGGAGCAGCGCCGCGUGAGUGAUGAAGGUCUUCGGAUCGUAAAACUCUGUUAUUAGGGAAGAACAAAUGUGUAAGUAACUAUGCACGUCUUGACGGUACCUAAUCAGAAAGCCACGGCUAACUACGUG
rnacentral:rRNA from 1 species